rnacentral:rRNA from 1 species
GAUGAACGCUGGCGGCGUGCCUAAUACAUGCAAGUCGAGCGAACAGACGAGGAGCUUGCUCCUCUGACGUUAGCGGCGGACGGGUGAGUAACACGUGGAUAACCUACCUAUAAGACUGGGAUAACUUCGGGAAACCGGAGCUAAUACCGGAUAAUAUAUUGAACCGCAUGGUUCAAUAGUGAAAGACGGUUUUGCUGUCACUUAUAGAUGGAUCCGCUCCGCAUUAGCUAGUUGGUAAGGUAACGGCUUACCAAGGCGACGAUGCGUAGCCGACCUGAGAGGGUGAUCGGCCACACUGGAACUGAGACACGGUCCAGACUCCUACGGGAGGCAGCAGUAGGGAAUCUUCCGCAAUGGGCGAAAGCCUGACGGAGCAACGCCGCGUGAGUGAUGAAGGUCUUCGGAUCGUAAAACUCUGUUAUUAGGGAAGAACAAAUGUGUAAGUAACUAUGCACGUCUUGACGGUACCUAAUCAGAAAGCCACGGCUAACUACGUG